rnacentral:tRNA from 1 species
GCGAGGGUACCUAAGCCAGGCCAACGGGGCCGGACUUAAGAUCCGGUGUCGCAGGACUCCGAGGGUUCGAAUCCCUCCCCUCGCA